GUCCAGAGGAUGGAGUUAAGGGUAGUGGUGAUGGGUUAUGAGCUGCCCAACAUGGACGCUAGGAACUGUUCUUAACUGAAUGCUGUGAUCACAGGCAUGUGCCACCAAGUUCAGCCAAGGAAUCCACUUUAAAUGUGGAAACACAUUGAAGUACAGCUUGGGAGAAGAUACACCAGAGAACAGUCACCAAAACAAGUUCAAAGUCAGGGACCAGCACAUCUCAGUCCUCAAUAAUGAUCCGUUCUUACCCUGGAGGGACCAGCAGCGUGGAGCAAAGGAAUUGCGCCAGUGUGCAGGAAGGAAGGUGUGGAACUCAGAACAGAAGUGAGCUUCCUUGUUU